GUCUGUCCUUUAUCUUCACCAAAUCUUAAAGCCAACUCAGGAAUUCAAUUACUGACCGAUCAAAGCUGGACUGCCUUGGUUGAGGCAAGAUAAGAAGCCCAGAGCCCAGACUGAUGAGCCAUUCUCAACCACUGCCUCCAACCUCAUUUGCUGUAAGCUGACUCUUUAAGAUACCUCUGAAGAACCCUUCAGUCUCUGGAGAAGAUAAAGAGACAUGGACCUAUUACAGAACAAGAUUAGUCUUUCCAGAGCUGAAAUCCACAUGCUAUAAAGAGGAGAGGACAGGGUGGGAGCAGGUGUUCCAGAUUUGAAUAUGGCUUCUCAAGAUGGUAAGAAUCUUGUUAAUCUUUUUUGCCAGAAGCAAGUCAAUCAUUUGAUGGGAAGAAAUGGAUGGCUCAUCAAACCUGAGGCCAGGUCAAACUUUUAGCAACCUGGACUAGCUAAAUUGCUUGCCCACAAAAUGGCACUCACCAAUGAAACGGAAGUAGAAGUGGAAACCAUCAACUCCAAAGGUGGCUAAGACCAAGUGUCUCUUCUUCAUGUUUUCCUGUCCUGCUAGCUGGAUGCAAAGAAUCCAGUGGAACUCUGAAGCCCAGAAAGAUAAUGGCCACACAUUGUGGAUGGAGCCUGGGUCCCUGAAUGACUGCAUGGAGCUCAACCAUCCUCUCCCAACUACCUAUUGACCUACACUGGGCUGCAAUGAGUGAGAAAC
rnacentral:lncRNA from 10 species